rnacentral:rRNA from 1 species
UAGCAUAUCAAUAAGCGGAGGAAAAGAAACCAACAGGGAUUGCCCUAGUAACGGCGAGUGAAGCGGCAACAGCUCAAAUUUGAAAUCUGGCCUCACGGUCCGAAUUGUAAUUUGUAGAGGAUGUUUCUGGCGACGUGUCUUCCGAGUUCCCUGGAACGGGACGCCAUAGAGGGUGAGAGCCCCGUCCGGUCGUACACCUAGCCUCUGUGAAACUCCUUCGACGAGUCGAGUAGUUUGGGAAUGCUGCUCUAAAUGGGAGGUAUACGUCUUCUAAAGCUAAAUACCGGCCAGAGACCGAUAGCGCACAAGUAGAGUGAUCGAAAGAUGAAAAGCACUUUGAAAAGAGGGUUAAAUAGUACGUGAAAUUGCUGAAAGGGAAGCGCUUAUGACCAGACUUGGGCUCGGUGAAUCAUCCGGCGUUCUCGCCGGUGCACUUUGCCGUCCCAGGCCAGCAUCAGUUCGCGCCGGGGGAUAAAGGUUUCGGGAAUGUAGCUCCCUCGGGAGUGUUAUAGCCCGUUGCGUAAUACCCUGGCGUGGACUGAGGUCCGCGCUCUGCAAGGAUGCUGGCGUAAUGGUCAUCAGUGACCCGUCUUGAAACACGGACCAAGGAGUCGUCUUCGUAUGCGAGUGUUCGGGUGUCAAACCCCUACGCGUAAUGAAAGUGAACGUAGGAGAGAGCUUCGGCGCAUCUCCGACCGAUCCUGAUGUUCUCGGAUGGAUUUGAGUAAGAGCAUACGGGGCCGGACCCGAAAGAAGGUGAACUAUGCCUGUAUAGGGUGAAGCCAGAGGAAACUCUGGUGGAGGCUCGCAGCGGUUCUGACGUGCAAAUCGAUCGUCAAAUAUGGGCAUGGGGGCGAAAGACUAAUCGAACCUUCUAGUAGCUGGUU